UUGGGGUUGACAGUGCAGUUUUAAUGGUUGUGCUUAAAGGAACCAGGACAUUUCUUUAAACUUCAGACAGCUAUCAUACAGAACACCAAAGACUGACUAAAAUAUAUCCUGUACAUAAUUCAACAAUGGCCAUUCAAAAUAACACAUCCCCCCUCCCAAAAUAAAUUAAUAAAACGUUUUUAAAAAGAAAAAAAAACGUGCUGCUUUGAAAUUUAUAUCGGGCUCCACUUAGAGGUCAAAGGUGAAUCGAGGGAUGGAAUUCUGGGUAGUUUAAAGUAUUUAUUUAUGGUUCAUAGUCAAAAGAAAGAAAAUGUCCCGUGUUUGCAAUUAUCUUUACUUAUUGCCACAUUCCAAUCACUUGGAAUUCUCCUAUUAUUACAGACAUAUAUACAAGGGGUUUUUUUCUUCCACUUUUCUUUUGGACUUCUUCACUGUACAAGCUUAAUACCACAUACACCAAUCUAUAUACCAUUAAUUUUACUAAUCGUUCUUAUUUACAAAUAUUUGGUAAAACCUUUAUUCAUUUCAGCAGUAUUUAAAACAACCUUGCAACUAUUUAAACAUAAAACACUUGAAUAUUCGAAAAUACGUAAUAGCUAAAAAUGUCCUGUUUCUAUUCUUUCACCCCAAAAGGUAAAACCUGUUUUAAGUACUUAUUUUUCUUUUGACAUAAUUCCCUGCGAAUUUCUUUUCUUUCUUUUUUAAAACUUCUUUCAAUACUUAAAUACUGUAUAAUAUCAUAAAACUAUGGUCCCCAAGUACACAAUUGUUAUACAGUGUAACAAGUACGGAUAACAAGUACAAAUACUAAAAGGUCGUCAUUAACCCUAACUUUACAACAUGGAGGGAUCAAAGCAGAGUGGUGGGAAGGAUGGAAGGAAGGAAGGAUGGAAGGAAGGUGAAGGAAGGAAGGAAGGUGAAGGAAGGAAGGAAGGAAGGAAGGAUGGAAGGAAGGAUGGAAGGAAGGAUGGAAGGAAGGAAGGAAGGAAGGAAGGAAGGAAGGAAGGAAGGAAGGAAGGAAGGAAGGAAGGAAGGAAGGAAGGAAGGAAGGAAGGAAGGAAGGAAGGAAGGAAGGUGAAGGAAGAGGAAAAAGGGAGUUCAUCUAGUACUUGGUAUGGUUGUUGUUUUCAUGCAGGUCUCGGUGUAGGAUCGAGAUUUCCUUGUGUUGUUGGUUGUUUUCGUUGUUGUUGUUGUUGUGUCUGGUUAGGGCCUGCCUUGUUUUGCUGCUGCUGCUUGGUUCAGUUCUGUUCGCGUUGCAGUUAGUGUUCGUAGUGGGUGUUCGUGGUGCGGAGGCACUGCUGCUGCUGCUAGGCUAGUGGCUGCUGUCCCCUGCUGCUGGAGACAGGGAGCUGGGACAUGGGUAGGACAUCGAUCGCCUCUUGCAAGAGGCUGCCUAAGGCAGGGAUGGUGUUGGAGGCAGGGAUGGGGUUGGAGGCAGGGAUGGGGUUGGAGUGACUGCUGCCGGUCUGUAAAGGGGUACAGACAGACAGAUAAGCAUUAGGGCCUCUUUACCAGUGUUUCCCAACCCUCUAAUGGGGGACCACCAGACAGUUCACAUUUUUGUUCUAGGCCUGCACUUAGUGAGGUGAAUUAGUUGAGUUAGUGCAAGGCUGGAAUAAAAGCCUGUAAACCACAACCAGUGCUUUAGUUCGGUUAAACCUCCUUUUGACCAUCUGUGUUCAAUACUACAGCC
ensembl:lncRNA